GGUUGUGGCUCAGUUGUAGAGUGCCCGCCUAGCAUGCAGGAGGCACUGGGUUCAAUCCUCAGCACCA
rnacentral:tRNA from 1 species